CACAUUUGUUUGUUUGUUUGUUUGUUUUCACUUUAUUUUAUUGUUAUGCCUAGGAGACUGGACAUUUUUCGGCACAGACAAUCCUCCCUGUAUAGGCAGAUGCCAGCUAUUAGACAAGAUAAUGAAAGAGUAAAACACUUGGUUGUUCCUGUAAAAAUUAUACAUCAGAUGUCGUGAUGUGACCUCCUUUGUGUGACUUUCUGAGGGAAGAAUACAUAAGCACUAGGUAUCCUCUAUCACUGGGAUUUUUCAUCUGGCAAGAACAUUACGGAUAAAAUGGAGCACGGAGCCCACAUGAAGAGAUCUCCAUCCACAGGGCUAUCUUAGGUCUUUGACAUGGAAUUCCCCAAGCUUUGCCCAAAUGAGAACCAGCCUGUGCUUUGGUAAGAAUGGUAGAAAAGUUUGUGCUGCAGAUGAUGUUUGGCAGAAUUUGUUCUUGUCACUACAACAUAGCUGCACUGGUCCUGCUCACAGCAGAAAUAAGAGCUGCCUUCAGCAUCCACAAGCUGGUUGGUCCUGGUCCAACAGACUGAGGAUAGAUGAAAGGAAUCUGUUUGUGUUCCUCCUUAUGCUACCCUUUGAAAAUUGCUCUGUUUCCCUCUGCACUUAAUUCAGCUGUAAAAUGAGAUAAUAUUUACUAGUCUGUCUAGAACCUGUGAGAUUUACAAAGGAGAAGAACAUCUCUAACUUACAUAUAUUUAUAUUAUUUUACCAAGUACACAACAGUAAGGAUAAAAGAUAAAAGGUUCUGAGGCAGCAGACACAAUUCUUACAUCAGUAAAACAAGUCUAAGUAGCACAGUAAUUUGCUCAGUACUCUUUCAUUGUAAUGAGCUUUUCUAUCAAGAGGAUGUCUGGUGUUGUUUCAACCACUUUCUUGGAAUUGGUAUUGCCAUUUUCCAAACUGACCACCUGGAAUAAUGUCUGCAGCAGGCUAAAGUACUACUGCCAGCUAAAAGGGCUGGCUUCUGUGAUCAGCAAACACAAAUCUCCUGUCUAGGAAGAAGCCAGAUCUCUCCCUUUGUAUUUGAAUCAUUUCACAAUGGGGUGCGAUUAGCUGCUGUUCCUGUGGUAUGCAAAGAUCUCUCUCUCUUCCAGUUCCCCAAAAGCAAGCAAAAUCAUUACACCCCAAAAGAGCUGUAGGAACUGGGAUUCACUUCAUGCAAUAUCUCCAUCAGCUAGUUAUGCAGCACUGUCAACAUCCAGCUAUUAAAUAACUGAAUAUGAAAAACUAAGCAGACUGGCUUAAAAUUGGAUAUAAGACCACGUAGAUGCAGUUACCUUCCUGUAUUUUAUGCAUAAUAACAUUGUAAGCAACUUGCAGUUGCACUGCACACAGGUUAGGUUUUUAUUUCAUAUUUUUACAUCCAGAGGUUUAGUUGCCCAGAGAAGAAAGCUGAGAGUGUUGUGCUUUCACUUGACUCUGAGACCUGGCACCUUAAGUGGCUUCUGCUGGUGUUUAUUGAAAAUAGCUACCUGUCCAUGGUGGGCAAAGUGUUUGAGAGAAAAAUAAGGAAAGAAAUCACAUUUAUAAGAAAAUCAGUGGGGUAAUCAUGUGAUAGCAUAAUGUUCAUGUUAUACAAUUACUACUAAAUGAGCAUGGCAUUACUUUCUAAUCUAGAUAAUGUCCAAGAAUUUUACAAUGUAACCACUAUGUUUUGAAAGGAGGUGCUAUCAUAAUUGCCUAGGUAACAGCAGUGUCCCACUAACAGCAUGUAUUAUUGUUGAAUUUUAAAAAUCCCUGCAGCUUAGAAUGGUAUUUAUUGUUGGAGAUUGUAGGGAAUUAAUUUUGAAGAGAAUGAAUAUAGCAAACAAGAAUGUAAAAAAAAAUUGCAAGAUUUCUAAGAAUUGCAUCAGGUUUCAACAUGGCAACUUUGUACAUGAGAGAACAGAACAGUAGAUGCUGUUUUUAUUUAUUCAAGAAAAAUGCCAUGCUUUGAUCCCUCAGCCAUGGGUUUAACACUUUAAUUCCUUUCUCUGAUUGCUACUGCUGGGGAGUGGGAAAUGUUACCCAUGAGUUUGGUGUAAAACAAAGUUGAAUAAAUCCCCAGCUCAAGAAAAAAGAAGUGUCUUCAGUGCUAACUUCCCAGAUAGCCCCAGCCAAAGUUGAGUUACUUUCUGCUUACAUUGUAUGGGUUUUUCCGAGCUGGAGCUGUCUUUUAAUGAAGUGGUUGUCACUGGUAGUGGUUUCUACAGCUACUCUAACAGCUGCAGAAAUAGCACAAGAUGAAACUAAGAAUAUCCACUCUUUUACCCUGAGUUGAAAUUGCAUUUAUUUAAAGGACCAAAAGCAACGAGUUGUAUGACAUGGACAUGAAACUGUUGUAAAAAUCAUCAGUCAAGUAACACUAACAAUGCACAAGAAAGUACACAGUAAAUUUGAUAUUGCAAUGAGUUUUAAAUUGUGACCCAUUAAACAAAUCACCCAGUUUUUCCAUCUGCACUAGUAGCUGAUCCAGUACGUACUGCUUGUGAGGAUCCAGAAUUAUCUGAUUGCUGGUCACAUACAAACUUGCAUAGAUUUGGAGCUUCAUUGGCUUCCAGGCAGCUGCUAUUUCACAAGUUUUACUCAAAUCAGAACAAGUAUCUUUAGGAUUCACUAAUAUGUUCAUAAGAGACCAGAUAUGUUAUUGAUUUGUAGCAAGUUCUGCCUGGUUUGUUGCAAUAAACCAGACUGCAAAAUCCCUGAUUGUUCCCUGGGAGGAAGCUGCAGUGAUGGAAAACAGAUACAUUCUCCCCUUCACUAAAGGACCUACAGAGGACAAAGCUGACAUAAUCUGGAAAGUGCACACUGUUAAAUGAACAGAUGUGAAGUAAAACCACUACCAAAACUCUACAAGCUGUGCUCAUAAUGGGAAUUCUGGGGACAAGAAGAUAUAUAUAUAUAUAUAUAUAUGUCAGUAUAUUCUCAGCAACAGACCACUCACCUUUCCUUUUUAAACUGCAUUGAUGAGUGAAGACUGUCUAUUCUUGACCAGAUAUCUGAGGAUAUCUUUUUUCCCUUAGUACUUUACUCCCUUGGCAUAACAGCUGUCACUGAAAGAUAUUUCCUUCAUUUUGGAAGGCAAAGGUGGGAAUGCCACAAAACUAAUUCCUGUGAUGCAAUGUGCAUUCUUUGGCACUGGCUAAUUAUAGCACACAAGAGCUACCAGCUUCCCUGCUGAAGACAGAGUAGGUGAUCCCUGCUGUAGGGCUGCACUCUGCUCUUGGGUUCUACCUGUGUCACAGUGCCCAGUGACACUGCAGUGAAAGGGCAGUUUGUCAUCCCUUCUCAGACAGCUGUGCAACAACAGCACUGAGGAGAUUUCCCCUUUUCAAGGUUAGCCAGGUCUGGCACUGACAGUAACCCAUACUCGUUCUCUGUCAUCUCACAAGAGUAAAGAGGAGCAAAAGAAAAACCUCAGCCCCCAAACACCAUGCCUCUUAGUAUAGACAAGUGUAUGUUCAACAGAUGGAGAUGAAAGCCAGGAAAAAGUGGCUAUCUUGAUUCCAUGGCAAUGACAUGGAAUAGUAUUACAGCUGGUAAAUAAGAUUAAUACAGCCUCACUUAUGCCUAUCUUACUAAUGCUUUUUC